rnacentral:lncRNA from 1 species
CAUAGUAGUAAUAAAAAAAUUGUAAUCGAACGUUAUUUUUAUAAAUUGCAAAUCAUUGACUUGUAUAUGCACAAAAUAUAUUUCGUUAAGAUGAAUUCGAUUAAGCGAUACGUUGCAAUUAAUAAUAAUUAUUCAUUAUUAGAAGAUGGAAUGAUAGGUGAAGUUACGUUAAAAAAUCUUCUCUCUCUUUCUUUCUUUUUAUAAUUGGAAUAUAAUCAGCAUAUACAAUUUCCUGUAAUAAUUCCAAUGAUAUUUAAAAUAAAGUAAGACUUUAAUUGUCAUUUAACAGGACUUUCGCUCACACAAACAUAAUUAUGAAUGUGUAUGAAUAAGUAACCUCUUUUCUCCAUGACUUUUAGAAUUUAAACAAGAUAGUAACGUUAAGAAACGUAUAAUGAGUAUUACGUUUUAAUUCACGCAAUAUUUUUAUUAAUCCAAUUAAUUUAUUUGUACUUUCAACAAUAAUUACAUACAUUUGAUUACAAAGAUGAUAAAAUAGUCUUUAGAAACUUGUAAACCUUUUCUUGCGAGCGUCGUGCAAUCUCGUAGGAAACAGCAAAGAGAUUACCCACCGUGAGAAUGUAAAGGUACCAUUCGGUACCACUCUCUGCUCUGACGACGUCAGCAAACAAGCACUCGUCUCUUUUUAAAGCGAACCAAGAGACACGAAAUAAAAAACAAUGCGUGCUUUGAACAUUCCCGGUGAAUCUGAUUCCCUUUUUCCUUUUUUCGCACGUACGUACGUAAAUGCAUAUAUGUGCGACACUUUCAAUUAGAUAUAUCGCGAAAAAAUGGAGGACAAGAAUGGAGAACAAAAAUGGAGAACAAAAAAGAAGAAGAAGAAGAAGAAGAAACAACAAACACACAACAACAAAUUGGAAUAAAUUAUUAUUUCUAAACUAUUGAUGUGUGUGGCAAUUACCAAUCUAUCCAUCCAGACACUGUUACUAUGACGUAUAAUAUUUCUACGCGAGGCCGCAUAACGGAAUUUGGAUCCUUGACAUUUUUGAAUGAAGCGCUUCUACGGUCGAUCCUAAUAUAUCACGUACGAGAUUCCAAUGAUCUUUAAUAUCAAAAAUAUAUUUAAAAAAAAAAAACAAUAGACGAGGAAAUUUACGGAUUUUCAUUUUUACAUAUAAAUUUUACGUAUUCAUUUGUGCUCACACACUUGGUUCGGAUAUACGCAAGAAAAAAAUACAACUCUUCAGAUACGCAAAAUGCGCAAAAGAACAACAUGUAAUUUAGUCUCAAGAUACACAAAACUUACACAAUCCAGCACGUAACUGCAUUUGCGAGAUGACAAAGAUAAGAAAUGCGACUCGGAUAUAACCCAGAUAUCGAAGUUGAUGCUAUUAUUCGGGUAACGAAACGAAUUUGUUUCUUUUUUUUUUUUGCGAAAGGUUCGGAAAAACUGGAACAGAUUUUUCUCCGAGAAGAAGAGGAAUGAAAACGUAAAAGAAAAAAAAAAAUAAAAACAAAUUUAUGUAGGAAUGCUUUGGAUCUAGGAGAAGAAGAAAAAUUUUCAUUGAAUUCGGUUUUAUUAAAGCGUCACGUGUGUAGUAUAUCUAUAUCAAAGCGUGUCAUUUCCGAGGCACUUUAAAUCCCGUGAAUACGCUUUUCCGCACGUACCACGUAGAUUUGGAAAAUUCCGUCCGACGUAACUCUCUGAGAAGCCUUUUUUUUCUUCUUCUUCUUCUUCUUCCUUCUUUUUCUUCCCGCCCCCGUCACUUUUUCAAUUUGUCCUUCCCGUCAUUAGAAGCGUCGUCUUGUCGUCGUGUCGUGUUGGUGGUAGUGAGGUAUAUGUAUGUAUGUAUGUAUGUGUCUGUUGUGUGUGUAUGUGCAUGCAUGUGAUAGUUAAAUGCAAAAGGCUUUCAUCAGAGAUAUCGCGUAUUCUCUUUAUUAGAUUAUGUAAAGAAAAUCUUUCAAUGUUCAGAAAUUUAAUGGACCAAUUACGUACGAAAUAUUAUCUUUUUACCGAUUAUGAUUAAUUACGUUUGAUUAGUCUGUUUUGUUUGCUUCUUUUUCUUCUUCUUCUUCUUCUUCUACAACAAAUACAACAAUUAAAUCACGAGUAUAUUAUCUUUUUGAGUAAAUAUUAAAGAAUCGUGUCAUUUAUGAUUGGAAUAUGAAUUUUUGUUAUAACGCAUAGUACCGAAAUGAUGGAACAACAUGAGCAUAAUAAACAAUAUGGUCGUUUUUAUUUAAAGUUGGCAAGUGGAUAAGAUGAACGUGAUAUGAAUUUAUGAAAAGUUAACGUGUAGGUCGUUCAUCGAUUGUCUGGUCUUAUCUUUCAUUUCAAAGCCAUUACAAUAGCGUUAUUCGAACGAUUAGAGAUCGCAUGCAGAAAUAUAACAACAACGAAUGGCAUUGUUAAUAAAGCCAAUAUCAAUUUGCAUUUUAAUAUUCGUUAAAUGUAAUCAUCGUUCUCUCGGUGUUUAAUUCGAUUUAAUAUUGAAAAUAGCACGGAUAAUAGUAAAGCAAAUAAAACGAAUCAUCGAUUAUAUUUUUUUUCUUUAUACUCUUUUAAUCGAGAUUCUUCUUUUCAGAAAAAACAAAAAAAAAAACAAGAAGAAAAACAGAAAGAAAAAAGGAUCUGGAGUAUAGAAAAGAAACGUAUAAAUUUCCAACUUGUUUGAAAAGAUGGUCGAGUAAGAAGAAGAAGAAGAAGAAGAAGAAGAAGAAGAAGAAGAAGAAGAAGAAGAAGCAGGUAUAUAAAUAGGAACAGGUACCCUACACCUGUAAACCGUAGGGAAAGCCUACCUUAACUCAACCUAUUUUAUUACCAUACUUUUUCUCAUUGUAUUUUUCAAUGUCCAUAUUAGUAAAGCUUGUAAUGAAGACGAAGAAGAAGAAAAAGAAUGAAAAAAAAAAAAAAAAAAAAAAAAAAUAACAGAUGUAUGCAAAGUUCUCACUAUAUAGUUCUAUCUGCUGGUUACAAGAUAAUUAUGGAAGAGAAAAAGGUGCUGAUGACAUUUGUGCAACAGGGAAGAGAGAUAACGUUUGGAAUGUGGGUGUUACAAAUGAUAAAAAAGAGAGAGAGAUAAAAUGAAAAUAAUUCGAAUAUAUGCU